GCGCCGGUAGUUCAGGGGUAGAAUCUCAGUUUCCCACCAUCCUUGCGCCUACUGAGGGCCCGGGUUCGAGUCCCGGCCGGCGCA